UUGUCCUUGGAAAUUUUCAUUCUUCUAGAUUGCAGCUGGGAAAAGGGGGAAAAACUCUUGGGCUGCUUAUCUGUGUGGCAGAGAUGAUAAACUAUUUUGAAACUGGACUGCCUGGACCAUGAAUAUAAAUACCAACUGAUUUUUAGAGAUGUGUCAUGGAGCUAUUUACCUGCAGAAGAAACAUGCAUUAUGGAUUGGGAUGAUGGAAUACUUUGGAUUAUAAACCUUUGACUGAUGAACAACUUUUAAUUGCUUUUUUCUCUCUGGACAGAAAGGACAUGCUUCUCAUUGGACAGAAAAACUUGAAUUUUGCUUAUAUUUGCUUAGAGGAGGCUUAAGGAUGGACUGUCACCUGUGUUUUUUCCUCCAAUUUUGCAAAUGAAAGUGACGUACAUGGUGAAGUUUCCUUAUUGCUUUUAUCCUGAGAUUUCUUCCUUGGAUUGUAACAGCAUCAUUAGCUGGAGGAGCUGAAGAGCAAACAACCUACAAACGAAACAUUGAAUAUCAAGAUCAAUUCCCUGAUUAAUUUCAUUGAUAUACUCACAAUAAACUAUUACAACAUUAGACAACAUUAUCAAGGUACUGAAUGAGCUAUAGGCCACAUUUGGAUGAUCACAAACCCAAAGAUCUACUACCUUUAGAAAUUAAGAUAUAUGAACAAUCCUUUGUUCGUCUGUCUGUGCAUCUUGUUGCUCAUUUUUGAGCAAAGAACCGG